AUAUAUAUAUAUAUAUAUAUAUAUAUAUGUAUAGUGGUUCUCCUACGCCGCCAAAUUUAUGUGGUUUUAUUUGGACACAAUAUAGUAAACUUAUUUUUGGAGGUUGGUGGUAUGCUUGAAGCCUGCUCCACCUCCGCCGCGGGUCGGCCCGGUAUUGCACUACCUCUGGGGUCUGCCCGCGUAUU